CCCCAGCUAUAAUGUCAACAGCUUCCAGGAAUACAGCACGGCAAGCUGGACAGGGUGGACAAACGUCACCCCAACAGCAGUCUAUUAUGAUUAUCAAGGCCGUGAUUCCUUCUGUGGCACCAAUGGCACCAGCCRCCAGGGGCUGGGAGCCCUUGGGGCUGAGGCAAAAAAAGGGCACUUAAUUUGGAACAAUGGUACCCCAAARGCCUUGCCACCAGACGUCUUUUUGAUAUGUGGUGACAGGGCCUGGCAGGGGAUUCCAAAAAGUGUAAUGGGUGGUCCAUGUUAUCUUGGUAAACUGACRUUACUGSCACYGGAUCAAAAUUGGUGGAAACAUAUCACGGAGAAUGAGACCACCGUCCGCGGUAAGCGAGCAGCCAUAGGGCUCUCACCUGAUUGUAAUGAUCAAGUUUCCCUACGCAGUCCCACUGAAAGAGUGAUUUUGUCCUUCUUCGUGCCUGGAGCAGCGGCAGGCAACGCCCUGAACCAGAUCGGCCGAUUGGCUUGCUGGGCUGAGAAGCAAGCUAACGUCACCACUGAGAUAAUAGAGAGCCUCUUAGAGGAUCAAGGUAGUUUGCGACAUGCUAUUCUACAGAAAAAAAAAAACAAAAAAAACAGCAGUUAAGAGCUGAUCCAGCUCUAAAUGAAGUCAAAGAAAUUCAGAAAAGACCCCACUGAAAACUCUAGAGCACACUGAAAAAAAGUACCAAAGAGGGGGAAAUAAGUAAAAGGAAAAGGAUCAUAAAUGUAUCUAACUUGAAAUAAGCUUUAAAAAAGUAAAUGUGGCUCACUAUGAGUAAGGUUAAUGUAAAUAUAAUUUAUGAUAUAUGUAAGAUAAAUAUUUUAAGACAUAUAAAACUGAAAAUAAGAGUUGCAUAGUAAAUUGUUGUUGUUUUUAUUAUCAUGGACUAUAGGAGUCUGAUUCAUGAACCGAUUUAUUAUUGUGCUAGGUGCUGUACAAACAUAGAACAAAAGAUGGUCCAAAUAAAAAUUAUUUUAGAAUGUCA
rnacentral:lncRNA from 1 species